rfam:Glossina morsitans morsitans, isolate Yale, WGS project CCAG01000000 data, contig: ctg10001754
GGGGGUAGGGUUUUAAGGUACGUAAGCGCCAUGGAUGGCGAAUCGUGCAUGCUGCUACUAAGAACCAGCAGUAUCUUUUGAAGAUUUUCUACCUCC